AUGCGUAGAUAUCGGGAGGAACACCAGUGGCGAAGGCGGCCUCCUGGGCUGUUCCUGACGCUGAAGGCGAAAGCUAGGGUAGCGAACGGGAUUAGAAACCCCGGUAGUCCUAGCUGUAAACGAUGGAUGCUAGAUGUAGGGGGUAUAGAUUCCCUCUGUGUCGCAGUUAACGCGUUAAGCAUCCCGCCUGGGGAGUACGGUCGCAAGGCUAAAACUCAAACGAAUUGACGGGGGCCCGCACAAGCAGCGGAGCGUGUGGUUUAAUUCGAUGCUACACGAAGAACCUUACCUGGGCUUGACAUGUAUGUGGUAGUGAAGUGAAAGCGGAUCGACCCCUCGGGGAGCAUACACAGGUGCUGCAUGGCUGUCGUCAGCUCGUGCCGUGAGGUGUCGGGUUAAGUCCCGUAACGAGCGCAACCCCUGUCCUUAGUUACAAGUGUCUAGGGAGACUGCCGGCGGUAAGCCGGAGGAAGGUGGGGAUGACGUCAAGUCAGCAUGGCCUUUAUGUCCAGGGCUACACACACGCUACAAUGGCCGGUACAAUGGGUUGCCAA
rnacentral:rRNA from 1 species